UCUCUGUUGAAAGAACUGGCCAAUCAGAGUGAAAACAAUUAUGUUAAUAUAUCAGAAUUAUGGCAGUUCCUGUGUUUGACACAUCCUGCAGUUACUCUCCAAAGCAUCAGAUGGCGCUGCUGAGCUCUUGUUUUUGAUCCAAGGACAUUAUUUUAAUUGUACAAUGUACAUUUGUUUUGUGUCAAAAACUGGAGGAUGGGAUGUCCUGAUAUUUUCAACUUCAUUUGAAACUUGGUGCAAAUUUUGUGAUUGUUUCUUUCUACAAAUUAAAUGUAUUCUGUGAUCAAAGAAUGGAAUUCUUGCACCAGGAAUAUACAAAUUUGUAAAGUGGAAUAAGCAUAUUAUAAUAAAAAAAUGAACAAAUCAUGCAAUUGUACACUCCACACUUU